rnacentral:rRNA from 1 species
UACAUGGGGUGCAAACGUUGCUCGGAAUUAUUGGGCGUAAAGCGCACGUAGGCGGUCGUUUAAGUCGGAUGUGAAAUCCCUCGGCUCAACUGAGGAAGUGCAUCCGAAACUGAACGGCUCGAGUACAGAAGAGGGUCGCGGAAUUCCCGGUGUAGAGGUGAAAUUCGUAGAUAUCGGGAGGAACACCGGUGGCGAAGGCGACAUCCUGGACCGGUAUUGACGCUGAGGCGCGAAAGCCAGGGGAGCAAACGGG